rnacentral:rRNA from 1 species
GGCACGACACCGGAGAGGGAGCCUGAGAAACGGCUACCACAUCCAAGGAUGGCAGCAGGCGCGCAAAUUACCCAAUCCCGACACGGGGAGGUAGUGACAAUAAAUAACAAUACGGGGUUCUUUAGGAUCUCGUAAUUGGAAUGAGUACAAUUUAAAUCUCUUAACGAGGAACAAUUGGAGGGCAAGUCUGGUGCCAGCAGCCGCGGUAAUUCCAGCUCCAAUAGCGUAUAUUAAAGUUGUUGCAGUUAAAAAGCUCGUAGUUGAAUUUCGGGGUUAGUAGGUUGGUCAUGCCUCUGGUAUGUACUGGUCUCACUGAUUCCUCCUUCCUGAUGAACCUUAAUGCCAUUAAUUUGGUGUUUUGGGGAAUUUGGACUGUUACUUUGAAAAAAUUAGAGUGUUUAAAGCAAGCUAACGCUUGAAUACAUUAGCAUGGAAUAAUGAAAUAGGACGUUCGAUCCUAUUUUGUUGGUUUCUAGGAUUGACGUAAUGAUUAAUAGGGAUAGUUGGGGGCAUUAGUAUUCAAUUGUCAGAGGUGAAAUUCUUGGAUUUAUUGAAGACUAACUACUGCGAAAGCAUUUGCCAAGGAUGUUUUCAUUAAUCAAGAACGAAAGUUAGGGGAUCGAAGACGAUCAGAUACCGUCGUAGUCUUAACCAUAAACUAUGCCGACUAGGGAUCGGAUGAUGUUAAUUUUUUAAUGACUCAUUCGGCGCCUUACGGACUG